rnacentral:rRNA from 1 species
UACGAAGGGGGCUAGCGUUGUUCGGAAUUACUGGGCGUAAAGCGCACGUAGGCGGAUACUUAAGUCAGGGGUGAAAUCCCGGGGCUCAACCCCGGAACUGCCUUUGAUACUGGGUAUCUCGAGUCCGGAAGAGGUGAGUGGAAUUCCGAGUGUAGAGGUGAAAUUCGUAGAUAUUCGGAGGAACACCAGUGGCGAAGGCGGCUCACUGGUCCGGUACUGACGCUGAGGUGCGAAAGCGUGGGAAGCAAACAGG